GCUCUUCUUGGAGCACGGCAAGCUCAACCGCCUCGCCGAGCUCAGCGGCGGCGCCUCCUUCGGCGCGCCCAGCCUAGCAUUCGACCUCCCCGGCGCCGCUGCCCUUCAAGCGCGAGGUACUCGCCCAGCACCACGAGCUCCGCCGCCUCCGCGAGGACUUCGCCCACCUCCAGGUACGGUUUCAUCACGGCCAUCUCCGCCGCCGCCGUCCAGUGCAGCACGCUGCAGGCUCAGGUGGACAGGCUGAGCACGGAGAGGAGGUGGCGCGGUGGUGGUGGCGGGUUCUUCAAGUGGAGCACGUUCUGGUUCGGCGGCAUGAGCUCCGACGUCGCGAGGGUGGAGGACUCCGAGAGCGGCAUUGAGCGGCGGACGCCGGCGAGCGGGAAGAAGGGCAGGGGCGGCGCACUUGACUAG
rnacentral:lncRNA from 1 species